UCUAAAAGCCCCAGAAACUCAGCACUCAGGCACUCAGAGAAAGGCUGGUCUCUGGGCUUGAGUGAGAACAACAGAAAUUUCAACCAGGAGAAGAAUUUCUAUCAUGCUCUGCCCUGGUCUGCUGUGGGCAUUCUUGGCCUCCUUUGGCUUCAGAUCCAGCAUGGCUCAGAAAGUAACCCCAGCUCAGACUAUAAUAACAAGGAAUGAAGGAGAAGCUGUGACCAUGGGGUGGAAGUAUGAAACCAGUUGGAGCAAUUAUUAUACUUUGUUCUGGUACAAACAGCCUCCCAGUGGAGAGAUGGCUUAUCUUAUUCAUCAGGAUCAUUCGAAGCCAGAUGUAAAGCAGGAUCGCUUCUCUGUGAACUUUCAAAGAGCAGAAAAAUUCAUCAGCCUCACCAUCUCUUCCUUACAACUGUCAGACUCAGGGGUCUACUUCUGUGCUCUCUGGGCUCCCACAGUAAUAGAAAUGAUGGGGGAAGGUAAUCAAAAACCUUAGAGCUCCAUAAAGGCAGCCACCUGCUCAGAGGCUUGGGGAAAACCCAUGAACCACAGACAGGAAGAAGCCAGGCAUUGUGGAAGCACAGCUGAGACCUUCUAAUGUAAACUCUUUUUCUAUAAAAAAUGUUCCCAUAUUUGAGUUCCGUGUAUAAAACAGCCUUCUUCCCUGAGAUUCCCAGGUAUUAUGUUUGUAUCUUGGGUUAAAAUAAAUUACAAAGUGCUUUUCAACUUAUUCCUAAACAGCUAGAUUGAAUGAACCCAUUUAUUUCAGGAAAAUCAGGAGUAGUUUUCUAAUUAUCAUCCUGAAUGGUUGGAUCUUCAGAUCUGACAGAGUACUAAAAACCAUUCA